GAAUUACGAGCCCAAGCUUAAAACCCAAAGGACUUGACGGUUUUCCAUCCAUCUAGAGGAGCCUGUUCUAUAAUCGAUUAUCCCCGAUCAACCUCACCACCUCUUGAAUUUUCAGCCUGUAUACCUCCGUCGCAAGCUUACCCCGUGAGCACACUCAGUAAGCUUAAAGAUACUACACCCACACGUCAGGUCAAGGUGCAGCCCAUGAGGCGGAAAGAAAUGGGCUACAAUUUCUAUUUUAGAAUAAACGAAAGGCUAUAUGCAAUAUAACCUGAAGGCGGAUUUAGUAGUAAGAAGGAAAUAGAGAAUUCUUUUUAAUUAGGCACUGGAAUGCGUACACACCGCCCGUCACCCUCUUCAGAUUAUAAAUAAAAGUCACUAACACUCCACACCUUCGCAGAAGAGGCAAGUCGUAACAUGGUAAGCGUACUGGAAAGUGCGCUUGGAACAACAAAAUAUAGCUUAAUAAAAAGUAUCUUGCUUACACCAAGAACAUGUCUGUAUAAAUCUGACUAUUUUGAGCUUAAAACCUAACCCAACUUUAUAUAACAAAACAAAUACACCAAUAAAAUUAACUAAAACAUUUUCUUAACUUAGUAAAGGCGAUUAAAAAGUUUCUGGGAGUCUCAACAUUAGUACCGCAAGGG
rnacentral:rRNA from 1 species